CAGCCGCCGCGGGAAUACGAAGGGUGCAAGCGUUACUCGGAAUUACUGGGCGUAAAGCGUGCGCAGGUGGUGGUUUAAGUCCGUUGUGAAAGCCCUGGGCUCAACCUGGGAAUUGCAGUGGAUACUGGGUCACUAGAGUGUGGUAGAGGAUAGUGGAAUUUCCGGUGUAGCAGUGAAAUGCGUAGAGAUCGGAAGGAACAUCUGUGGCGAAGGCGACUAUCUGGGCCAACACUGACACUGAGGCACGAAAGCGUGGGGAGCAAACAGGAUUAGAUACCCCUGUAGUCCCUGUCUCUUAUAA
rnacentral:rRNA from 1 species